rnacentral:rRNA from 1 species
AGAGUUUGAUCCUGGCUCAGAAUGAACGCUGGCGGCAUGCCUAACACAUGCAAGUCGAACGAAGGCUUCGGCCUUAGUGGCGCACGGGUGCGUAACGCGUGGGAAUCUGCCCUCAGGUUCGGAAUAACAGCGAGAAAUUGCUGCUAAUACCGGAUGAUAUCGCGAGAUCAAAGAUAUAUCGCCUGAGGAUGAGCCCGCGUAGGAUUAGCUAGUUGGUGUGGUAAAGGCGCACCAAGGCGACGAUCCUUAGCUGGUCUGAGAGGAUGAUCAGCCACACUGGGACUGAGACACGGCCCAGACUCCUACGGGAGGCAGCAGUGGGGAAUAUUGGACAAUGGGCGAAAGCCUGAUCCAGCAAUGCCGCGUGAGUGAUGAAGGCCUUAGGGUUGUAAAGCUCUUUUACCCGGGAUGAUAAUGACAGUACCGGGAGAAUAAGCUCCGGCUAACUCCGUGCCAGCAGCCGCGGUAAUACGGAGGGAGCUAGCGUUAUUCGGAAUUACUGGGCGUAAAGCGCACGUAGGCGGCUUUGUAAGUUAGAGGUGAAAGCCUGGAGCUCAACUCCAGAAUUGCCUUUAAGACUGCAUCGCUUGAAUCCAGG